rnacentral:rRNA from 1 species
GACGAACGCUGGCGGCGUGCCUAAUACAUGCAAGUUGAGCGCUGAAGGUUGGUACUUGUACCAACUGGAUGAGCAGCGAACGGGUGAGUAACGCGUGGGGAAUCUGCCUUUGAGCGGGGGACAACAUUUGGAAACGAAUGCUAAUACCGCAUAAAAACUUUAAACACAAGUUUUAAGUUUGAAAGAUGCAAUUGCAUCACUCAAAGAUGAUCCCGCGUUGUAUUAGCUAGUUGGUGAGGUAAAGGCGCACCAAGGCGAUGAUACAUAGCCGAACUGAGAGGGUGAUCGGCCACAUUGGGACUGAGACACGGCCCAAACUCCUACGGGAGGCAGCAGGAGGGAAUCUUCGGCAAUGGACGAAAGUCUGACCGAGCAACGCCGCGUGAGUGAAGAAGGUUGUCGGAUCGUGAAACUCGGUUGGUAGAGAAGAACGUUGGUGAGAGUGGAAAGCUCAUCAAGUGACGGUAACUACCCAGAAAGGGACGGCUAACUACGUG